CGCCACCCAAAUCUCAACGGUGGGUCCCCAGUUUCCGGAUCGAUUUCCGGAGGAGAAGACGACGACGACGACGACCGCCUACAGAAGAAGCAUAAACCAUUGCUUGGUUUCAAUUCUUCUCGUACUGAUCAGCAUUAUCCGAUUCCUUCGGCGCUCAAUUCGGCCUCCUAUGGGUCCGAUUCGAAUGCCGAUGGUGACAAUCCCGACGCGUCACUCAAGCGUCGCAAGUUUACCGCCGCCAAGGCUGGAUCUGAUCAAAUGGUGAUAAAUCAUACAUUAAUAUAUAGAUUUCGCGGGUUUUUUAAAGUCCUGGUUUUGAAACAGAAUCAAGAAAUUGAUUUUCCUACUUUAUUUGGAUAUUUUAUUUUAGGGUUUUAUUUUGGGAAUCGAAAAUAGCUUCUCAUGCGCCGAAAUUUUAUAAUUGCAACAGAGAUGAACGAAUGAGUUUGACUAAGUCAUGUACCUUUUUUUUAUUGGAUAUUGUUUCAACUUUUUGAUUUUCGGCUAAACUUCAAGUUGUUUUGAACAUAGUUUGUCUUCCUUUUCUUUCCCGAUUUACGAAUUUUCCAUUAUUAUUUUAUUAUUUCUUGUCUUGGAUUUAAUCCUUCCUUUAUUUUUGUGCAAAAUAAUAGAUGCACAGACCAUCAUGUCUGUAAAGCUUCAGUUUGUCUUUUCUUUUCUUUAAUAAUAAUACUUCAAAGUUUUUGUUUUUGUUUUUUUUUUUUGGUACUUGCUUUGCAUUGUUGUAGCUUUUUACUGUAACUUUCCUCAGUGAUUCUUCAAUAAUCAACGCAAGUAUCUCUUUUAAUAGUUUUUUUUUCAUUUAAUUUGGGAGUUAAAUAAAUAUAUGUAUUGACACGAGAGUUUAUCUUAUUUACAGGGAGAAAAGUUAUCGAAAGUGACGGACACUCUUCAUGGUAUAAGUCUAUCUCGGUUUUCAUGAAAAAAAGGCAUUUCUGGGAAUUCUUAGAAAAAAAGAAGUGUUGGGCUUUGUUAACUAUAUUAAUUUUAUUUCAUUUAUAUGUGGACAGGUUCACCGGUGGAGUCUGGCCCCACCCCCACGACGCCUUUGCCAGACAAAAAGUUGUUGGUGUUCAUUCUUGACAGGCUUCAAAAGUAUUUGUUAUUUUUGGCUCAUUUGAUUUUUUUUUUCUUAGUUUAUCUUCCGUUUGACGGGUUUUUAUCCUUUUUACUUAAUCUACUUCCAGGAAAGAUACUUAUGGGGUAUUCUCUGAGCCAGUAGAUCCUGAAGAGGUGCAUUUUGUUUUUCAUUCUUGCAUAAAUCUAGAUUACUGAAAAGUGAAAUCACGGUUCCUGAUAUAAUGUUUGAUUGGUCUUGAUACAGCUUCCAGAUUACCAUGAUAUUAUUGCACACCCAAUGGACUUUUCGACAGUCAGGAAAAAACUUGAUGAGGGAGCUUAUAUUACCUUAGAACAAUUUGAGGUUUGUUUUGCAAGCAUUCUCUUUGCUAAUGUGGAUAAAAUGUUCGUCUAUCCGUCUUCCUCCUGACAUAGUGGAGAGGGAAAGCCAACUAAGUUGUUUGACUGCAUUACUGUCAAUGGUGAUUAAGUUUCUGAUGUUAUUUUCUGGAUUUCUCUGGUUGAUGUGUGUUUUUGUAGCAAUUGUGUAUGGCAAGUCAAGUGUGUGUUGUCAGUCAAGCAAGUCCUUGAAGAAUACUGGAGGCAUGCUAUGCCUUUUGAGAUUACUGUAGUAAAGAUGUUGGCUAUGAUGUUUAAGUACUUCAUUAAGUUCACUUGUUUGGGAUAGCAUUUUGGCCUCUUAUGCCUGGAAGAUUCUUUAAUUUGGUUUGAGAAGAUAAUUACUUGCCUUUGUUUUUUACUGUUCGUAUGAUAUAUAAUUUAUUUGGUACUGCCAAUGGUUUGCCUAUGAUUUGUGGAAUUUGAUUGCAAAACUUGUUUUGUUUAGCAUGGGAUCUUACAGUGUUACUCUUUCCUAGCAGAUAACUAUAUAUGCUGUAAGUUGCUUUUUGUGGUUAACUGAGAAGAUGAAAAUCCUAAUGAAAUGAUUUUCAUGUCAGUAUAAAUGCCCUGGACCAGUGGGGAUAGUCUUUAGAUGCUACAAACAUGUAGUAAUCAAAACUUAGAUUUAGGGGAUAUAGUUUUUCUGGAAUGAUACUUGAUGUAUAACUGAAAAUUUGUGAGUUUGAUUCAUGCAGAUUGAUGUUUUCCUAAUAUGCUCGAAUGCAAUGCAGUAUAAUGCACCAGAUACAAUUUACUUUCGACAGGUUUGUCUAGGUCUCAAUUGUAUUAAUUCCUUUGUCAUGAUACUGUGGUCUCUGUUAUUUUAAACGUCUGGAUUGGAUGGUUAGGCACGAUCAAUGCAGGAGUUGGCUAGAAAGGACUUUGAGAAUUUGAGGCAAGAUAGUGAUGAAGGUGAACCACAAGUGAAAGUUGUGAGGAGAGGAAGGCCACCUGGAAAGAGCCUCAAAAAGUCAUUGGUUUCAUCGUCAUCUAUUGACCAUGUUGGUUCUGAGUACUCCUCAGAUGCAGCACUAGCUGCUGGACGAGAUGCUUCUAGCCUUUCAAACACUUACAAUUUGAGGAAAGCACCUAAUUCCCUCAAACUACGGCCUGCUGAUACAUUUAUCAGGCCCUCCUGGGGUUCUCCUAGCAAAGAAAAUCAUGCCAUUUGUUCAUCUGAAUGGGAGAAUGAAUUUCCAGGUUUGGUAUUUAUCUGACUUUAUAUACAUAUCCUUAAGUCUUUAGCUUUUUUAAUGUAAAAUGUUAUUUACUACAUAUUUUCUGUAUUUCAUAUUGAGCUAUUUUUCUUUCGUUUUGUAGCUUCUGUUGUGAGGGCUGUGAUGAAGUAUGGGAUGAAACAUUUUGCAGUAGAUGAGAACAGGCGUGACACCUACAACCACUCAUCGACUUCUGGACAUGAGCAACAUACCUUUUCCACCUUGGAUGGAGAAUUGAAGCAACUAAUUCCGGUGCGUUUUAUGUUUGUAUAAUGGCAAUAACAGUUAUUAAUGCAUUAGUUAGAAGAUUAUUGUAUGAGCUGUAUAGCUAGAAUGUUUGAUCUACCUUAGACUCAUUGAGCGCAGCUAAGGAAUCCUAAACUUUUUGUUUAUUAAUAAAUUGUAUACAAAAGUUGUGGUGCAGGUGGGUUUGCCCUGGUAAUUUGAUAUGUUUAUAUAACUAGCUAAAAGGGUGUUUGAAUAUUCUGACAACUAGUGUUUAUGAGGGAACAAUACAAAACUAUCCAGAUCAGUGGCAGAAUAGAAUGCUCAAUCCCUUAUAUUGACUAAUUAUUUUUAUCUCCCUCGAUUUUAUUUUGGUCAAUUAUAUUGUUUAUCAGGUUAGUUUGACUGCAGAAAAUGGUAACCCUUUUUCCCCCUUUCAUUGUCUGUCAGGUUGGUUUGAGUGCAGAAAAUGGUUAUGCUACAAGCUUGGCACGUUUUGCUGCAAAUCUUGGACCAGUUGUUUGGAAAAUUGCUUCAAGGAAAAUUGAAAGUGUUUUGCCUAGAGGACUCAAGUUUGGUCCUGGAUGGGUUGGAGAAAACAGGACAGUUGAGCAACCACAAUGUUCCUUUUCUGAUAAGCAGAGAUCUCCGAAUUCUCUAUCUGAUAACCCUCCUGGCAGAUUUUUAUCAACAGCUACUUCUGGUUCAAACUCCAUUGCUGCAAGUAGAUUUCCUUUGCAAGGUAGAGAAGACAUGGAAGCUGUCAGAGGCCUAACUUCUCAAAAUGACUCGACUUCUGCACCUUCUCAUCAGUUUCAGCAAAGUCUUGUUCCACACUCGGGUAUCAAUGGUUCUAUUGGUGGGUUUGGGUUUGGUUACUCCUCUCAAACGGGGUUGGUAACACAGUGUGUAAAUUCUUUGUCUGAAAAGACUACAGUGCCGACUCAAACACACGACAUGAUUUCGGGUGCUAGUGAUUUUCUUCCGAAAGAGGCCAAGUUGGCAGAUAGUUCAAUCGCUUUACAUUCUGGAAAUGCAAUGGCUGUGGAGCCUGAAAUGGUGUCACAUGCGGUGGCAACUAAUGUCGGGCUUCAGCGGAGUUCCUAUAAUGAACCGAAUUUCCUUCAAUUUGCUCCUGAUCUUAAUGUGAGAUUUCUGGCACCGGGUUCACCUAGUUCUAGUGUGCCAAUUGGUUCACCCCAGCGCCCUGAUUUAGCAUUGCAACUCUAAUAAUCAGCUUCCAUAUGAUGUGGCUUGUAUGUGCUAAUUGUAGUAUUAGGUCAAGUACGCCUGUAUAUGAUGAUAAGAUUUGGUCGAAAUUUACUUACUACAUUCUUCAUUGGAAGGUCGGUUGAGUAGUGGUUCCUCAAGAAGUCAUAGGAUCAGAUUGUAGGGGAGAUUUUGUAUAGAUUGAUAUAUCAAAUUCUUUCAUAGGGUUAAAAAAUUACAGAUUUAUAUACGAUAUCUAACAUGUUAUAUUUUGAGUUGUUAAUGAAUAUUGUUACCAAUACUACUACUGGUAUUACGUACGAGAUAUCAUUCAUGUCAUGAAUUAUGAAAUGUUCAUGUUUGGAGCAAUGAAGUAGUGCUUAAACUAGUUGAUGCAAAAUUGAGGGCAACUGAUACUGAAAACUUUGCCAAGGGAGUUUGAGUGAUGUUAUGUAAAUUGCAAUUAUAUAUACAUGUGCAUAUAUAAUUAUAUUAUAUAUGUUGAGAGCAUGUAUGCAGUUCUCUUGUUAGUUCUGUAUCAGUGUUAAUUUGUUUCCUUCCUCCGCUCCCACAUUGAGAUACCAGUCCAGGCAGAGAAUUUCUUGAAAAUAUAAUAUCAUAGUUUUCGUGAUCUUGUAUAAGUUGUCCUGGCAUAUUUCUAGUUGCAUCCUAGUUACAUAUGCUGUCCUCGCAUAUUCAUCCUUUAAGAGGUAAGGUCGGGGCAGUAGUAGUCAUUUUCCAAGAUCAAUAGUGAAGAGAAUUGUUUAUUUGAACAAUAGCAUGCAUUAUGUUAAAAAAAUCUCAAUCAUUCACUGUACAAUAAUGGCCAGGUUUGGAAAUAUAUUCUAUGCCGCCUAAAAUAGCCAUGGUGGCCACCUAAUGCUUGGCGUUUUUGCAUACAUCAGACAAUAGUGGAAUCUUAGUUUAGAGGGACUUCAAAGCCUCCCAUAUUUUUGUUUGGCAAACUGGAGCAGAGCCCUUUGGAAGAUUAUAGGAGUCUUAACUGUGUUGCGCUCACACCAUCUACAUGUAUCAUCAUUACUUGAGACCAAAUCUAGUUACAUCAUCUGUCCUAAAUCGUCUUGUUAUUUCAUGCAGUAAAGCUUUAAACUGCCAUUUACUUCGCAUGCGGAGAAGUAUAUUCUCAGCGCCGUACGUGACCUCUACCCUUUGAGUUUGAGCAUCCAAAUCUUGAGCAAAUUGGCCAGUAUUCUUUGUAAUUAUGGGUUGUAUAAUUGUCAGGGAUAAGCUGUUCUUAUGGAAUCUAAGGCUCUUUGAUCUUGGGAAGAGCUAUAGUUCGUCCUGACUUAAGACAUGCAGUUCUGCAUCACUUGUGACUCUUUCCAGGUCACCACCCCAGAGUUCUCUCCUCCUAUAAGACCUUCAUUACCAGACAUGCUAAACUUUGAAGGCUGGUUCGUUCCAUAACAACAGCUAUGACUUGAACCGGAACUCAGGCUACACGAGGAGCAAGGUGAAUUUGAAGUACAGCUUGGGUCCCGAAAUUACCAUCCUCAGCCAGCUUUGUGAUUCUUUUCAAGGUUGUGGGGCACGCUAAAAAAUAUUGAAAGGAAACCGGAAAGGACAUCAAAUUAUAGAGCAAUGAUAGCCAACAGUAUGCAAUUAUGUUCAUUAGUAUCCCAUACCAUGCUAUAUGACAGGGAUACUUACUGAAACACAUAGGUACCAAAUAAACCAGAAGGAAAAUAACAAGCCAACAUGGUAACAUUAACAUACAGCUUCUACUUUUUCUUUUUUUCUGUCUUCAACUUUCAACAGAAACUCCUUUUAAUCUAAAAUUAUUAGCUGUUUGUCUACCAAGCUUACACCACAACCAAAACAUCCAUUAACACUUAGCACCAAUGCUUUUUGCUUCAUCGUUUAGUCUUCCAGCAACAUAUUAGCGAGGAACCAGCAAAGUGAUUGUUUUUUCUGCCUUGCUACGCCUCUACUCUCUCUUUUUUCGUUUCCCCUUUGCAAGGUGAUGUUAUAAAAUGUUGUUGUUCAAAUUAUCUGCCUUAUGUGCUUGGUUAUGAUGGAACAAAUUUCCAGCUUGUGCUAUCUUGUUUGUUAGUCAAAACCUGAUGCAAUGAAAUGGAUGAAUACAAGAAUUGCUAAUUAUGAUAAGCUGUUGAUGCUUUUUGCUAAAGAUACAGAAAAGAGGGAUGGGGCUAAAGGGGGUCACUUGGGCAGCCCAAUAGGUGGCCGAGUAUCUGAUGGUAUCCCUUUGCAAGAUGUAGUUGGUGCAAGUAUGGAGGAAAAAGACACGAAUGAUACCAGCCAAGUUGGUUCGCAAGCACCAUCCCAGUCAACAACAUCAUUGAAACCGAAAAAAAAGUGAAAGGCGACAAGAGUUGAAGUAUUUGAAAGGGAGUUACAAGCAUAAGGGAAGCGAUUAAAGGUGUUGCAGAAGAAUGUUAUAGCCGAGAGAGGACAACCACGCGUUUACUCGGAGCAGGAAGUAUUCGCAGAAUUAGUGAACAUAGGUGUUGAAAUAUAGUUGCGGAACUUGUGGUAUAAGGCAUAUAUUUUCCUUAGUGCAAACGCUGGGAGGGUGAGAGCCGUUUUUGGUUGCUCAGCUGAGGAGCGAAAGGAAUUUUUAUUGCAGAUGAUGUAUACUAGUUCUGGAGACCCGGCAUAUUAAAAAUUUAUUAGCUAGUUAGGAUUCUUUCUUUCAUUAGGCUUGAAGAUGGGACGGCAUGUGUGCGUUUGCGAAAAGGAAGGGAUUUUGUACAUAAGAUAAGAUGAUUCAUAAUUUAUGAUAUGAUAGGGUAAAGCUAUUUUUACUUUUUAUUUGGUAUAUUAGUUGAAUACCACUACUAGUACAGAAUCUAAAUGGUUUUGAAAGAUACAACUUUGCCUCUUUGAAAAAUUCUAAAAACAAACUCUUUAAUAUCAAGUUUUCAUUAACUUUAUUGAGAGUUAAAUUCAAAGGUGACUGGUCGUAAUAAUUUAUAUGGAAGUGUGCUGAGAAUUGUUGCAUGUUGACAGUGUCCAAGAAGAGAAAAUGGUAAAUUGUGUGGUUGAAGGGAAAAUUUACAUGCCCUUGCACAAGUUUCAUGGUCCUUAAUGUAUAAACCUUGUGUGUUCUUCGUGUUGCCAGCUAUCCUUUUAAUUGGGAUGCUUGGUGGGUCAUGGUAUUGCUUAAGUACGUGUCUUUGAUGACUAUGGAAAGUCACACACACACACACACACACAUAUAUAUAUAUAUAUAUAUAUAAAUCCACCUAUGUUUGUUGUGAUGGGACUGUGCGAAGUCCUAUGUCAUAUGAUUUGUCAUAUGAUUAGUUAAAUAUUUUAACAAAACAUAAUCUUCUUCUAAGGCAAAGUAAAACGUGGUAUCUUUAAGGAUGAGAUGUGAAUUAUGUGAGGUAUACUUAUGCUUAAGUAUAAUAAUUACUCCCAAUUUAAAAGAGAGUUAUAAAAUAACAUUUCUUGAGAUAAAAUGUACAAUAUAUAAUUGUGUUGUAAGAUAUACAUAGUAAUUGAAUAAUGUAUCUAUAAAUUUAAAGAGUGCUGUGUUUGGGGAAAACACAUUAAGUGGAUUAAUGACGUAAAAAAGGUAUAUAUAAAGUAAAUUGUGGCCUACUUGUUAAGAUACAAUUGGCCAUGAUAGACUGUCAUUCCAUGUAUUGUUUUAUUAUUGACAAUUGAAUAAAACUUGAUGAAGAUGUCACGAAAUUUUUUUUGAAACUUUUAGAUUUUUUUUCUUAGAGUUAAAAAAUAUCAGUGAUGAUAUUCUAGCGAUCUUUCUAUAAUGUGAAGGUUUUAGGUGGACCAAAAAAGAUUUUUAGGUGAAGUUUUUAAUCUUUUCUUGAUGUUUGUUGUUUAUAGAUUUUCUUGUUACUAUUUCGAAUAUGGGUUUGGUUGGGAUUUGUAGUUUUUGAGGUAGGGCUUCUUUAUUUUGUAUUUCAUAGUGGGAUUUGGGAUAAUUUUGGUGAUAAUGGCUGGUAAGGGAAAAAAGAAGAAAAAUGUGAAAAAGAAAAGGAAAAAGCUACGAAAGUGAAGAAAGCAGAAAAAGAAAGGAAAAUAAGAAUCCUUAUAACGACUGAUAAAUUGGAAUGUACCAUUAGGGGAGCCGAGAUGCGAACAAUAUUGAAUUGUAGAAGUUUUUAGUACCCCGAGGAAGUAAUUGCCUCAGUGAGGUAUAAGCUACAACGCAAGGUGGUAGUAAAGAAAUUUUCUUCUAUUAUAUGUGUUUGAGUCAAGGUUUCAUCCUCUGCAUAUGUUCUUCGUUGAGGUGUUGAAUUAUUAUGGAUUCUGGGGCAAUCAGUAGAAAUAUUGUAGUGGAAUUAGAUAACUUACUUUAUACAUUGUCAAAAGCAUGGUGAAUUACGCUUUUAAAAAAUAUAUAUUAGCUGAGAAAUACUGGUGAAGUAUGUUGUUCUUCAUGGUAUUACGAGGAGAAAACUUAAUUUUGGACAAUAGAAAUCAUUUAUGAUAUUUAUAAUAAUAAAUUAUAAACUGAAUUAUUAUCCAUGUUUCAAGUAAGAUAAUCUAAAUUAUUUCCUAACUUUUUUACAAAACAAUCUUUUCGGCAGAAAAUUAUAUCAUUAUUUUAAAAUUUCAAAAAAAAAAAGUUUUGUUGGAUUUUAGACAGGUGUCGGCAGACGGAAUGGUUUGGACACUACUAGCGUAUAGACGUAUCGAUAAUACCAGAAAUCGAAAGCUUGUUUAGAGAGGAAAAAAAAAAAGGCGAAAAAGAAAAAAGCAAUGGGAGGUGAUAUUGGUGGUGAGAUAGCAGCGGAGACAAUGAAGAAGAGGAAGAAGAAGGGAAGGCCCUCUCUCUUAGAGCUUCAAAAACGCUCUCUCAAACAACAACGACUUCAGGAGCCGCAGCAACCGCAAUUGCUUCUUCAAAAUACCCCUAAUUCUUCUAUCAAUUCGAACCGCCGAUCCACUCGCCGCCACGCAAAUCUCAACGGUGGGUCCCCAGUUUCCGGAUCGACUUCCGGAGGAGACGACGACGACGACGAUGACCGCCUACAGAAGAAGCAUAAACCAUUGCUUGGCUUCAAUUCUUCUCGUACUGAUCAGCAUUAUCCGAUUCCUUCGGCGCUCAAUUCGGCCUCCUAUGGGUCCGAUUCGAAUGCGGAUGAUGACGAUCCCGACGC
rnacentral:lncRNA from 1 species